rnacentral:rRNA from 1 species
CAGUAGCCGCGGGAAUACGUAGGUGGCAAGCGUUGUCCGGAAUUAUUGGGCGUAAAGCGUGCGCAGGCGGUUUUGUAAGACAGGCGUGAAAUCCCCGGGCUCAACCUGGGAAUGGCGCUUGUGACUGCAAAGCUAGAGUGCGGCAGAGGGGGAUGGAAUUCCGCGUGUAGCAGUGAAAUGCGUAGAUAUGCGAAGGAACACCGAUGGCGAAGGCAAUCCUCUGGGCCUGCACUGACGCUCAUGCACGAAAGCGUGGGGAGCAAACAGGAUUAGAUACCCCUGUAGUCCCUGUCUCUUAUAC